rnacentral:rRNA from 1 species
AGAGUUUGAUCCUGGCUCAGGAUGAACGCUGGCGGCGUGCUUAACACAUGCAAGUCGAACGAAGCACUCUACUUGAUCUCUUCGGAGUGAUUGUUUUGUGACUGAGUGGCGGACGGGUGAGUAACGCGUGGGUAACCUGCCUCAUACAGGGGGAUAACAGUUAGAAAUGACUGCUAAUACCGCAUAAGACCACGGAGCCGCAUGGCUCAGUGGGAAAAACUCCGGUGGUAUGAGAUGGACCCGCGUCUGAUUAGGUAGUUGGUGGGGUAACGGCCUACCAAGCCAACGAUCAGUAGCCGACCUGAGAGGGUGACCGGCCACAUUGGGACUGAGACACGGCCCAAACUCCUACGGGAGGCAGCAGUGGGGAAUAUUGCACAAUGGGGGAAACCCUGAUGCAGCGACGCCGCGUGAGCGAAGAAGUAUUUCGGUAUGUAAAGCUCUAUCAGCAGGGAAGAAAAUGACGGUACCUGACUAAGAAGCACCGGCUAAAUACGUGCCAGCAGCCGCGGUAAUACGUAUGGUGCAAGCGUUAUCCGGAUUUACUGGGUGUAAAGGGAGCGUAGACGGCUGUGUAAGUCUGAAGUGAAAGCCCGGGGCUCAACCCCGGGACUGCUUUGGAAACUAUGCAGCUAGAGUGUCGGAGAGGUAAGUGGAAUUCCCAGUGUAGCGGUGAAAUGCGUAGAUAUUGGGAGGAACACCAGUGGCGAAGGCGGCUUACUGGACGAUGACUGACGUUGAGGCUCGAAAGCGUGGGGAGCAAACAGGAUUAGAUACCCUGGUAGUCCACGCC